rnacentral:rRNA from 1 species
GGAAUACGCUCUGGAAACGGAGAACAAAUCCCGAUGUACAGGAAGGAGGCAUCUUCUUUCUGUGAAACAUCCUUUAGGGGAUGGGGCGCGGAUGGACCUGCGGUGCAUUAGUUUGUUGGCGGGGUAAAGGCCCACCAAGACGAUGAUGCAUAGCCGGCCUGAGAGGGCGGACGGCCACAUUGGGACUGAGACACGGCCCAGACUCCUGCGGGAGGCAGCAGUAGGGAAUUUUCGUCAAUGGGCGCAAGCCUGAACGAGCGAUGCCGCGUGAGUGAAGAAGGCCUUCGGGUCGUAAAGCUCUGUUGCGGGGGAAAAAAGGCAGCAUCAGGAAAUGGGUGCUGACUGAUGGUGCCCCGCCAGAAAGUCACGGCUAACUACGUGCCAGCAGCCGCGGUAAUACGUAGGUGGCGAGCGUUAUCCGGAAUGAUUGGGCGUAAAGGGUGCGCAGGCGGUCCUGCAAGUCUGGAGUGAAACGCAUGAGCUCAACUCAUGCAUGGCUUUGGAAACUGGAGGACUGGAGAGCAGGAGAGGGCGGUGGAACUCCAUGUGUAGCGGUAAAAUGCGUAGAUAUAUGGAAGAACACCAGUGGCGAAGGCGGCCGCCUGGCCUGUUGCUGACGCUGAGGCACGAAAGCGUGGGGAGCAAAUAGGAUUAGAUACCCUAGUAGUCCACGCCGUAAACGAAGAG